rnacentral:misc_RNA from 1 species
AAACUCUGCAUGGAAUGGAAACCCUCAAAAUCAGAACACAAAGCCUGCAAUCUCCAAAACCCCAAUUCAUGAACUCACUCUUUUCAAGGCUCAAACCCAAUUUCUCUUCAAUCCCCUCUCUAUCUUGCCUAAAACCCUUUUGCACGACCAAUCCUUUAACUUCAUCUCAUGCCUUGAGAACAAGCAGCAGCAGUAAUAGUAGUGCUUCAGGGG